rnacentral:rRNA from 1 species
CCUACGGGCGGCAGCAGUGGGGAAUAUUGCACAAUGGGGGAAACCCUGAUGCAGCGACGCCGCGUGAGUGAAGAAGUAUUUCGGUAUGUAAAGCUCUAUCAGCAGGGAAGAAGAAAGACGGUACCGGACGAAGAAGCCCCGGCUAACUACGUGCCAGCAGCCGCGGUCAUACGGAGGGGGCAAGCGUGAUCCGGAUUUACUGGGUGUAAAGGGAGCGUAGACGGCUGUGCAAGGCUGACGUGAAAGCCCAGGGCUCAACCCUGGGACUGCUUUGGAAACUGGUGGGCUAGAGUGCUGGAGCGUUAAGUGGAAUUCCUAGUGUAGCGGUGAAAUGCGUAGAUAUUAGGAGGAACACCUGUGGCGCAGGCGGCUUACUGGACCGUAACUGACGUUGCGGCUCGCACGCGUGGGGAGCAAACAGGAUUAGAUACCCGAGUAGUC